UACGUAGGGUGCGAGCGUUAAUCGGAAUUACUGGGCGUAAAGCGUGCGCAGGCGGUUCGUUGUGUCGGUGGUGAAAUCCCCGGGCUUAACCUGGGAAUGGCCAUGGAACUGGCGAACUGGAGUGCGGCAGAGGGGGGUGGAAUUCCGCGUGGUAGCAGUGAAAUGCGUAGAGAAUGCGGAGGAACACCGAGUGGCGAAGGCAGCCCCCUGGGCUAGCACUGACGCUCAGGCACGAAAGCGUGGGGAGCAAAC
rnacentral:rRNA from 1 species